rnacentral:rRNA from 1 species
CCUACGGGUGGCAGCAGUGAGGAAUAUUGGUCAAUGGACGAGAGUCUGAACCAGCCAAGUAGCGUGAAGGAUGACUGCCCUAUGGGUUGUAAACUUCUUUUAUAUGGGAAUAAAAUGUUCCACGUGUGGGAUUUUGUAUGUACCAUAUGAAUAAGGAUCGGCUAACUCCGUGCCAGCAGCCGCGGUAAUACGGAGGAACCGAGCGUUAUCCGGAUUUAUUGGGUUUAAAGGGAGCGUAGGUGGAUUGUUAAGUCAGUUGUGAAAGUUUGCGGCUCAACCGUAAAAUUGCAGUUGAAACUGGCAGUCUUGAGUGCAGUAGAGGUGGGCGGAAUUCGUGGUGUAGCGGUGAAAUGCUUAGAUAUCACGAAGAACUCCGAUUGCGAAGGCAGUUCACUGGACUGCAACUGACACUGAGGCUCGAAAGUGUGGGUAUCAAACAGGAUUAGAUACCCCUGUAGUC